rnacentral:rRNA from 1 species
AAGUAAAAUCGUAACAAGGUUUCCGUAGGUGAACUCGGAAGAUCAUUA